GACGUAGGGCGCGAGCGUUGUCCGGAUUUAUUGGGCGUAAAGGGCUCGUAGGCGGUUUGUCGCGUCGGGAGUGAAAAUCCAGGGCUUAACUCUGGACUGGCUUCCGAUACGGGCAGACUAGAGGUAUGCAGGGGGAGAACGGAAUUCCUGGUGUAGCGGUGAAAUGCGCAGAUAUCAGGAGGAACACCGGUGGCGAAGGCGGCAUCCUGGACCGACAUUGACGCUGAUGAGCGAAAGCUAGGGGAGCAAACGGG
rnacentral:rRNA from 1 species